CACACCGCCCGUCACAUCACGAAAGUGGGCUGUACUAGAAGCCGGUGGGCUAACCGCAAGGGAGCAGCCGUCCAAGGUAUAACUCAUGAUUGGGGUG
rnacentral:rRNA from 1 species